GCGCGUUUUUGUCCAUAGUCAACGCGCGUAUUACGCGCGUUUGUAGUGGAUUGUUUGCAGUCAUGGAAUUCUCCAGAAGGCGACCAAUUGCGGCAAUUGUUGCAGCAAUCCAUCUCAGACGUUUGCGGCGAAGGAGAGAGAGCAGGCGACGCUUCUGGGUCCAUCCUGUCAUUGCCAAUCGACAGGAAAGGGGACAGUUCUGGGCACUGUACGAGACCCUCCGGGCCCAUGAAGACAAUUUUUUUUCAUACACGCGGAUGUCCAUCACCAGGUUUGUACAUAUACAAUAGUUAUAGUAGUGGUGUUCCAAUUGAGAAGGUACCAGUUUUAGUUUUUUGGUAUUGUUAACCCUCACCAUUUUCGUUUUCAACAGCUUUGAUGAGCUCCUGGGGUUGUUGGGCACCCGUUUAUAACGUCAGGACACCUUCAUGUGGGACAGUAUACCACCAGCGGAAAGACUGAUUAUUACUUUGCGCUAUUUAGCUACUGGCCACUCUUUGAUCAGUCUUCACUACACCUUCCUGAUCGGGAAAUCCACAGCCAGUGUGAUCGUGAAGGAAACCUUCAUCGCCAUUUGGCAUGUCCUUCAUGCUGCUGUGAUGGGCCAACCAAACAAGGAGGAGUGGCUGAAAAGUUCGGAUACUUUUCAGCAAACAUGCAAUUUCCCGAACUGUGUAGGAGCAAUUGACGGCAAACACAUCCGCGUUCUGAAGCCAAUGAGGAGUGGCAGUCAGUUCUUUAAUUAUAAAAAAUACUUUUCUGUUGUUCUUUUUGCGGUAUGUGAUGCUAACUAUUGUUUCCGUUACAUCAAUGUGGGUUCCUAUGGCAGCAGCUCUGACUCUGCUGUUUUUGGCCAUUCUGACUUUGGUCAAAUGCUCAUUACUAAUGCCCUUGACCUUCCCGGGAACACCACACUGCCUGGCACCACUUAUCCUUCUAUGCCAUUUGUUUUUGUUGGUGACGAGGCAUUUGCUCUAGGUCAGCAUCUUAUGAGGCCAUACUCCAGCCGUGGUCUCUCCAU